rnacentral:rRNA from 1 species
GGGCUACACACGUCAUAACAAGUGGCGUUGGUAAACGUAAAGGGUUCGACCCAACCCGCGAGGGGGAGCUAAUCCCAUAAAGCCAGUCGUAGUCCGGAUCGUAGUCUGCAACUCGACUACGUGAAGUCGGAAUCGCUAGUAAUCGUGGAUCAGAAUGUCACGGUGAAUACGUUCCCGGGUCUU